UACGUAGGGGGCUAGCGUUGUCCGGAUUUAUUGGGCGUAAAGAGCGUGUAGGCGGCCUGGUAGGUCUGCUGUGAAAACUCGAGGCUCAACCUCGAGAUGUCGGCGGAAACCAUCUGGCUAGAGUCCGGAAGAGGGUCGUGGAAUUCCCAGUGUAGAGGUGAAAUUCGUAGAUAUUGGGAAGAACACCGGUGGCGAAGGCGGCGACCUGGUCCUUGACUGACGCUGAGGCGCGAAAGCGUGGGGAGCAAACAGG
rnacentral:rRNA from 1 species